AGAAGCAGAAUCCUCAAGCCUCCCCUCCACUCCGGUCUCUCAAGAUCCCAAACCUUCAAGGCCUCCUUCAACACCAGUCACUAGAGAUCCAAACCCCUCUGACCUGCCUUCUACACCGGCCUCUAAAGAUCACAUGGCAAUCGGGAGGGUCAAACUUACUGCACCAAAAGGAAUGAAUCUUGAAGACCCCAAAGUGAGCGAAGCCAUUUUAGAGCAGAUUCGGGAGUACCUCUCCAAGAAUUUUCCGAUGGAAGGCGUUAAGAUGCGCUGGAGAAAACAAGACGGAGAGAUUUUCCACAAGGAUGAAGAAGAGGAGGAGACGUCCUCCGAGCCGUGAGAUACCAUUGCCGGCAGUGGGGUUCGGGGCAUUUUGCCAUUGAUCUCUAUUAUAAACAUGCCAAAAUUUAAAUUUUGUUAGAAAAGUGAUUUGAUUUCUUAAUAUUUUAUUUCCUUUGGUGGAUAGUAUCAGGGAAAAUUGAUUCAGGGUGAGAAUAAGGUUUAAUCAGGGCUUUUGAGUGUGUGUUUAAUUUUAUAUUAGUAACUACAACGAAACUGUCAAUAAAAUCAGGUUUAUUGAGGGUGUGUUUGUUGUUUCAAUUUUUUUUGUGCAAUCGAGUGAUGCAAGCUAUUUCACUCUG